UAAGACGAACUGUGCAAACGUUAUUCGGAAUCACUGGGCUUGAAGAGUGCGUAGGCGGUUUCGUAAGUAGGGUGUGAAAGCCCUCGGCUCAACCGGGGAAUUGCGUCCUAAACUGCGAGGCUAGAGUGAGGUAGGGGUGUGUGGAACUUCCAGUGGAGCGGUGAAAUGUGUUGAUAUUGGAAGGAACGCCGGUGGCGAAAGCGACACACUGGACCUUGUCUGACGCUGAGGCACGAAAGCCAGGGGAGCAAACGGG
rnacentral:rRNA from 1 species